GACGGAGGGGGCAAGCGUUGUCCGGACUCACUGGGCGUAAAGGGUGCGUAGGCGGCAGAGCGCGUCCGCGCUGAAAUCUGUUGGCUUAACUGACAGGCGCGUGCGGAUACGGCUCAGCUCGAGGCAUGGAGAGGGUGGGGGGAACUCCUGGUGUAGUGGUGAAAUGCGUAGAGAUCAGGAAGAACACCCGUGGCGCAAGCGCCCACCCUGGCCAUGACCUGACGCUGCGGCACGAAAGCGUGGGGAGCGAACCGG
rnacentral:rRNA from 1 species